rnacentral:rRNA from 1 species
CCUACGGGUGGCAGCAGUGAGGAAUAUUGGUCAAUGGACGAGAGUCUGAACCAGCCAAGUAGCGUGAAGGAUGACUGCCCUAUGGGUUGUAAACUUCUUUUAUAAAGGAAUAAAACGAGGCACGUGUGCCUUUUUGCAUGUACUUUAUGAAUAAGGAUCGGCUAACUCCGUGCCAGCAGCCGCGGUAAUACGGAGGAUCCGAGCGUUAUCCGGCUUUAUUGGGUUUAAAGGGAGCGUAGAUGGGUUGUUAAGUCAGUUGUGAAAGUUUGCGGCUCAACCGUAAAAUUGCAAUUGAUACUGGCAGUCGUGAGUACAGUUGAGGUAGGCGGAAUUCGUGGUGUAGCGGUGAAAUGCUUAGAUAUCACGAAGAACCCCGAUUGCGAAGGCAGCUUACUAAACUGUGACUGACAUUGAUGCUCGAAAGUGUGGGUAUCAAACAGGAUUAGAUACCCUUGUAGUC